rnacentral:rRNA from 1 species
UAUGUCCUACGGGGGGCAGCAGUGAGGAAUAUUGGUCAAUGGGAGAGAUCCUGAACCAGCCAAGCCGCGUGAGGGAAGACGGCCCUAUGGGUUGUAAACCUCUUUUGUCGGAGAACAAAACCCGGGACGAGUCCCGGACUGCGUGUAUCCGAAGAAAAAGCAUCGGCUAACUCCGUGCCAGCCGCCGCGGUAAUACGGAGGAUGCGAGCGUUAUCCGGUUUUAUUGGGUUUAAAGGGUGCGUAGGCGGUCCGUUAAGUGAGCUGUAAAAUUGC